rnacentral:rRNA from 1 species
CCAGUUAUCGUGCCAACGGUAAACGCUGGGUAGCCAUGUGCGGAGUGGAUAACCGCUGAAAGCAUCUAAGUGGGAAGCCCACCUCAAGAUGAGUAUUCCCAUGGUUUAAACCAGUAAGAUCACGGGAAGAACACCCGUUGAUAGGCUCUACGUGGAAGUCUGGUAACAGAUGCAGCGGAGGAGUACUAAUAGAUCGAGGGCUUGACCUU